rnacentral:rRNA from 1 species
UACAGGUGGGAUUGCGUUUUGAAAUAAUAAUUAGGCAUUAAGUGUGAUUAGGUGGCCAACAACAAAUUGUGCUAGAGUUAAAAAGAGGAGAGUUAGAGGAAUAACCAAAGGAAGGAUGAAAUCUAUAGAUAUUGGUUGGAACAUCGAUAGCGGCAGCAUCACUCUAUUUUUUAACUGACACUGAUUCACUAAAGUGUGGGAGCAAAACGG